GUGUCAGCAGCCGCGGUAAUACGGAGGGGGCAAGCGUUGUUCGGAAUUAUUGGGCGUAAAGGGCGCGUAGGCGGCUAGGUAAGUCAAACGUGAAAGCCCUCGGCUUAACCGAGGAGGGCCGUUUGAAACUACUUAGCUUGAGGACGGGAGAGGAGAGUGGAAUUCCCAGUGUAGCGGUGAAAUGCGUAGAUAUUGGGGAGAACACCGGUGGCGAAGGCGGCUCUCUGGACCGUAACUGACGCUGAGGCGCGAAAGCUAGGGGAGCAAACGGGAUUAGAUACCCCGGUAGUCCUAGCCCUAAACGAUGGGCACUAGGUGUAGAAGGUGACGACCCCUUCUGUGCCGUAGCUAACGCAUUAAGUGCCCCGCCUGGGGAGUACGGUCGCAAGGCUGAAACUUAAAUGAAUUGACGGGG
rnacentral:rRNA from 1 species